AGGGUGAGGCGGGUGAGGGACGCGCCGGUCCUUGGAGGAGACAUCUAACCCCUGGUUUACAUACUGGGAAAAGGCCUCAAUAACCCCCAGCUCUCGGAGAGGUUGUGAAGGUUAAAAGUGGUGCCUGACCCACAACAGGUAUCCAAGACUGCGUUCCCAUUGUCCCCUUUGUCCCCACGAACACAGCAGACGGCGAUCUUUAGCAAGGCUACUUCUGACCCUCGUCCUCAGUAAAGUGGGAAGUAGGGCCUGGGCUGGAAGGGGUGACAGGGUGGGGUCGGGUUGUCCUUUCCGAGAAAUCAUGUGCCGAUCCACAAACAAAAUGGCGAUGCAACAAACUUCCAUGUUCUUGAAAACGUUUUGAUGCUUACAAAAAGAAAUGAUCGCCAUCGUGCAGCCCGACGUGCCUGUGGCCCAGAGUACAACAGCCCAAGAUGACCCAAGACAUCUUCCCCCUCACAAGGAGACUCAAGGUUCUGUAUUUCCCCGCGUUUCUGUGACUUCUGAAAGAAGUGAACAGCGAGAGCUGAGGCUUUUACCUCCCAUCGCCUGAUCCCAUGGACCCUGGGUCCUAAGGAGCGAUGUCCACCCGCCCUUGAGAGGAGCGCGUGGCCUGGGCAGGGUCACUCGUCACGCAGGCCGGAAAUGAGAAGCUUUCCGCCACCCUUGUGUUCAUCCACCCCAGCAUCUCAGAAGUGAGGCCCAGCCUCAUGAGUUUUAAUUGGACAACAGAUUCCUACUUCCCCUAGGAACCAGGCAGCAACAUCAAGAUGGACCUUUUAUCACAUUUCUGGAAGGGUGAAGGUGCUCUGGAAAAAGCCAGCGGAGAGAGAGGGAGGCCCUCCCGCCAGGGAGAAAGCUAAGCCACAGCAGGCGCUAGGACUCCCGGAGGAGAUGACACAGCCACCGGCUGGCACUUGUCGGCUCGGGCUGCACCGAACAUCAGCGGUCAUGACGACGCUCCCCGCGUCCCCAGGGACAGUGGCGCCAAGCCCGUCCAGAGCUGCUCCAGAGAGUGAGGGACCCAGCACGGCAUCUCUCUCCCUUGAUGGGCCCGCACUCUUGGCUCCCUGGGCAGAAAAGAUACGGCAAGAGGUUGAAUUGUGUCUUCCUAAAUGUCACGUGUUGGAGUCCUAAUCCCCGGUACCUCAGAACGUGACCUCGUUUGGAACUGGGGCUGCUGUAGAUGUAGUCAGUAAGAUGAGGUCAUACCGCAUUAGGGGAGGCCCCUAGUCCAGCAUGACUGGUGUCUUUAUAAAAUUUAAAGGGGAAAUUUGGAUAGAAACACACACACACAGGGAGAACACCACGUGGACACGAAGGCAGAGAUCAAGUUGUCGCGUCAAUGAGCCACAGAAUGCCACAGAUUGCCACCCAGCCCCAGAAGCAGGGGGAGAGAGGUCUGGACCAGAUUCUCCCUCACGGUCUUCAGAAGGGACCAACCCUGCUGAGCCCUUGAUCUCGGAUUUCUGGCCUCCAGAACCGUGAGACGGUACCGUUGUCGAUACUUUGCUAUGACGGCCCUAGCAGACACAGAUGACGAAAAGGCCAAGGUAUCUCUGGUUAGUUUACCUUGAAAAUGGGCUUUGAAGCCCCUUCCAGCCUUACAGACAUUUAUUCUAUGCAUCGUUGUCCGAACAAAGAGUGAAACUGCAAUUUCAAGAAUGCUCCAUGAGUGCUCCGUUCCAGAAAAAUCCUGCCGGCAAAAAGAAGGGAAGUCCCCUUUCUCUUCUCAAAAUCCUAACCCUCCUUUGUUCUCAACAGAAAUCAUACACUGCAUAAUUCUCCCAAAAUGACCCCAAGGCAAGAGAACCUCUCUUUUCCAACCAAGUGCAGGGCCGACCCUCUUGCUAACUUCCUGGCCAUCCCAACUAGUUUUCAGGAGAAAACUCACUGAAAACUCAGUCGCAUGACUAUGAUGAUGAAUGCCAGCCAGUCAGGAGCUUGAAGAGUUAGCUCGCUCGGGUAGGGAAUUAGGUCACACGGAGCAUCGGCCAACACUCUGCCUUCUGCCCUGACCAGAUAUGUAGUCCUGACUGUGAAACAUCCCCCCACCCCCUUGGCAGGAACUCCUCCUGGAGUGGCAGCAGCAAUACCCCUGUGCCUUUGGCCUCCCUCCCCCGGUGGCAUGGAGCCCAGAGAUGCCAACAUCCUCUCGGACUAAGGAAACCCUUCCAGAACUUGCCACCAGCCCCGGAAUCCUGGCUGCUCCCCAGUGAUGGAGCAUUGGACAUGGUGGCUCUCAGGGCUGAAUUCCGGAGUGCUAACGUGGACCAGGAAGUAAGGCUUAUGAGACUUGGUCUUUGAGUGCCCUCCUUUCUCCCUUGCUUUACACCUGAAUUUGGCCUCCUGCUCUACAUCUGCCCGCCAAAUGCCUCUUUUAGCCUCGCUGUUACCCCGCGGCGUCCCAUUGUUUAUACAAGUUAUUUCUCCUCCGCCAAGAAUUUCUUAGUACAUCAAUUAGAACGUAGGAUUUUGAGAGAUUCAUGCUGUCAUCCUUCCCCCCACUCCUGCACUUUAGUCAUUUGCAUGUAGAAGUUACUCAGUCCAGAUUUGUUGAAGGUGGAUUCAACCUGGAUGUCUUCUGUGCAUCUACUCUUGUUAUCUGUUUUGGUCCCAAAUCCUUUCCCCGUGUGGUUCCGGAGUUCCUCCCGCUUCAGGGUUUGGUCUCCUCUAGGGAUGCUGGUAUCUCCUAAUUUAGACAGGAGUGUUCACUGUAGCUGAUUUCCCAUCAACUCGGAGGAAAAGAACUCAUACAUUUUUAGGGCUGAAAGAUUCUCCAGAAAGUAUUUAGUCCAUUUCUUAAUAAGAGGCCAGGUAACUCGUCCGGGGUCAACUGGUUACGUACGCGACAGAAGCCAGAAGCCAAAUGUCCUGGUUUGAUGUGAGGCCAUGGGUCGUGUGGAUGAAGACAUCAUCUGUAUGGCUGGUGUAGGGUGAGUGGGGGCGUCACAUCGUAUCUGUUCUGGAAGUUUCCUCCGUUGGCUCCUGGGCAUUUCAGCUUAACUUUAACAGCUUCCAAGUGAGUUUAGACACCUUCAUCAUGUCUGCUCCACAGGGGUUGCGUGGGGGCAGCUGGAAGACGGACCCACUCCCAACACAAUCAGGUCACACAGACGGUGUUCCUAGCAGCAGAGAUGGAACGGUCUCCUGUUCCAUCUCACAAAUCCGCAGAUAUGACUGACAGGGACUGUUUUCCACUUAGAGUCAUGCAGAUCUCAGAGGUAGGUCUGUUUCCAACCACUGAGGAAGCAUAAAGCAAAACAGUCUUGUCGGCAUAGACAUAUGCCUCAUUGUUUUCAAUCUGAACACAUGUUUUACAUCAAGAGAAGGGCUUGUGGUCGGGGUAGGGGGAGCUGAAGGGAGAUUCAAAGGUUCUUCAGCACUCAAAGAUCUCAACCUCUUCAAAGUUUCAACCCUCAGAGCUCUUACGACGUUUCAUCCCACUCAGCAGAGACGCUUCUCUGCCCACACUCUCAGGUGCAUGCGUGGGGACUCGAGUGUGGUCCAGAAGGAUGGAGAAAGGUAACAGGAUGGUCACCUCACUGCAGAUAUUUUCCCCAGAGGAUGUCAUUUCUCCGUUGGGAUUUGAUGAGCUCCCUAAGGCACAUUCAUGUGCAGAGAGCAGGUGAUAUCUGGCUGCUAGAGAGGCCGCAUCAAGCCAUGGCGGUCAUGGGUACCACGAGCUCACCCUGGAGGGGAAUAAGCACCUUCUAUCUGGGACGCCGGGCAGGUGGGUGCUGGCCAGAACCAGUGUCAGGGACAACAGGUUGAUCAAGAGAAAAGGGAAGGGUUUGCAUUCAGUUAUCAUCACUUUCUAGCCUCAGGGUUCUCAACCGCAAGUUGGAGAUAAUAACUUCCUUCCAUGAUAUUUUUGGGGUUCACCAAAUGCGAUCAUUACCUGUGAAAGUGCUUGGCACAGAGAGAUGAGGGGCAGUGCCCUCGACAGGAAGGAAUCCCGGCACCCACGCCAGCUCCUGGCUGUCUUCUUUCUGAGAUGACUGUUUCUAAGGGGAAGGAGGAGCAAGAUGAUGCCUCCAACCUGCAGGUCACGUCCAGGCAAGUCAAGUUGGAGUGUAAGAGUACCACUUACACUGGGCCCCAAGCGGUUUGUCGUCAGAGGGCCCCGUGGGAAACAGAGUGGCAGGGUGAUGGGGUGGGGCCAGGAGAGCCCAGCACGAGUCCUGGGGUCACUGCUCGCACUCUUGCUACUUUGGAUGGGUUCUUUGCCUCCUUGGCCGUCUAUAAAUUGGCCCGUCUAUAAAUUGGAGCAGACUGCACACAGCAUAGGGUCGUGCCAAGGCUCCUGCAGAAUGAUCCGGGAAGACAGCUGGAAAUGACAAGGUGCUGAAACAUGUGUGAUGGUGUUGUUGUUCUUAAAGGAAGGGAGAAAGGAGGGAGAGCAUGAGAAGUGUGGGGGAAGGGAUUAGCCUCUAUUUAAAAAAUUUUUUUUAAUUUUAAAAUAGUUUUAAGUUUCCAGAAGAGUUGAAAAAAGGGUCUGAAGAGUUCCCACGUACGGCACAUCCAGUUUCUCCUACGGUCCAGCUCCUAUAUUAGGAUGGAACAUCUGUCCUGUUUCAUAACCAAUAUUGAUAACACUAUUGUU